rnacentral:rRNA from 1 species
UUAAAUUGGAGAGUUUGAUCAUGGCUCAGAUUGAACGCUGGCGGCAGGCCUAACACAUGCAAGUCGAACGGUAACAGGAAGCGCUUGCUG